rnacentral:rRNA from 1 species
CGGACGGGUGAGUAAUGUCUGGGAAACUGCCUGAUGGAGGGGGAUAACUACUGGAAACGGUAGCUAAUACCGCAUAACGUCGCAAGACCAAAGAGGGGGACCUUCGGGCCUCUUGCCAUCGGAUGUGCCCAGAUGGGAUUAGCUAGUAGGUGGGGUAAAGGCUCACCUAGGCGACGAUCCCUAGCUGGUCUGAGAGGAUGAUCAGCCACACUGGGACUGAGACACGGUCCAGACUCCUACGGGAGGCAGCAUG